AUUGAACGCUGGCGGAAUGCUUUACACAUGCAAGUCGAACGGUAACAGGGUGCUUGCACCGCUGACGAGUGGCGAACGGGUGAGUAAUGCGUCGGAACGUGCCGAGUAGUGGGGGAUAACGCAGCGAAAGUUGUGCUAAUACCGCAUACGUACUGAGGUAGAAAGUGGGGGACCUUCGGGCCUCACGCUAUUCGAGCGGCCGACGUCUGAUUAGCUAGUAGGUGAGGUAAAGGCUCACCUAGGCGACGAUCAGUAGCGGGUCUGAGAGGAUGAUCCGCCACAGUGGGACUGAGACACGGCCCAGACUCCUACGGGAGGCAGCAGUGGGGAAUUUUGGACAAUGGGCGAAAGCCUGAUCCAGCCAUGCCGCGUGUCUGAAGAAGGCCUUCGGGUUGUAAAGGACUUUCGUCAGGGAGGAAAUCCCUAGUGCUAAUAACACUGGGGGAUGACAGUACCUGAAGAAUAAGCACCGGCUAACUACGUGCCAGCAGCCGCGGUAA
rnacentral:rRNA from 1 species